ACUACUGCUAACACUUGGAUAAGUGGUAAUUUAAGGUCUAAGAGUCCUCAGGAGAAGAACUUCAUUUGCUUAGAUAUGACUGCAUAACACCAACCAACCUUAUAUGGAUGGGAAUAUUUGUGAUGUUAUUGACGCAAAUACCUGAAAGUAUGGGCAAGUUUUGAUUAGGCAGACCUGAGCCACAGGAGACUGGCUAGAGGGAAGCCCAGCCCACAACGCCAGGGAUAGUAUAUGCUUAACCCAAAAUGUUUUUUCACCCAACCGUAUCUUCCUGGUUAGUGUAGUGAGGUGUGAAACCUAUGACCCCUCCCUCCCUAAAUGAGGUGUGAUGGAGAGAACAUCUAUGAAGACAUGGACAAUGACACUUAUGAACCCUGCACUAUGGCGGCAGAGAGCAGAGCAAUGAGUACGGCCCAGGACUCUACCUGUCAACUGUUUCCACAGCUAACUC